rnacentral:ncRNA from 1 species
GGCCAAGCUACUAAGGGCGUGUGGGGGAUGUCUUGGUGUCAGGAGGCGUUGAAGGGCGUGGAAGUCUGCGAUAAGCCCGGGGGAGUUGACAAACGAACUGCGAUCCCGGGAUCCCUGAACUGGCGUGCGCUGAAUCCAUAGGCGUGCGCGGCGAACGCGGUGAACUGAAACAUCUCAGUAGCCGCAGGAAAAGAAAGAAAACUCGAUUCCCCAAGUAGCGGCGAGCGAACCGGGAUCCUUAGCCCAAACCGCGGGGGUUUUCCUCUGCGGGGUUGUAGGGCCUUCCACAUGGGAGUUACAAAGUGAUUGCCAGCGGAACUGCUUGGAAAGGCAGACCACAGAGGGUGACAGUCCCGUACGUGAAAGCGGAUCACCUCCCGGAGGGUACCUGAGUAGGUCGGGUCACGUGGAACCCCGACUGAAUCUACGGGGACCAUCCCGUAAGGCUAAAUACUCCCUGACAACCGAUAGUGAACCGAGUAGGGCGACCGAAAGAUGAAAAGAACCCCUGCUAGGGGAGGUAAGAGAACCUGAAACCAUGCGCCUACAAGCGGUCGGAGCACUAUGGCGCCCGGGAGGACUUCGAGGCAACUCGAAGUCGCCCGGGAACAAACGCAAUGUGUGACGGCGUGCCUUUUGCAUAAUGAUCCGGCGAGUUACCGUCAGCGGCUUGGUUAAGGCCUUCCGGGCCGGAGCCCCAGGGAAACCGAGUCUGAACAGGGCGAAAUUGUCGCUGGCGGUAGACGCGAAACUGCGUGAUCUACCCAUGAGCAGGUUGAAGCGCGAGUUAUAUCGCGUGGAGGACCGAACCCACUUGGGU